UUUCAUUCUGUGUCAGAAACCUAUGCUGUGUCAACUAUUUAAUUUUAGAUUUAAAAAGUUUGAAGAAGAAAUCUUUAAUUGAUUUGUAAAAUCUUGACAUUUGUUUUGUGUAAAAAAAAAAACCAUGUUAUGUCAAAAAUUUGAUCACAAUCCAAAUUCAGAGCUGUAUCACGCUUGAAUGUUUUGUCCAUACUUGCCCCAACUGUUCAGGGUUCGACCUCUGCGGUCGUAUAAAGCUGCGCCCUGCGGAGCACCUGGUUAAAAUUUG
rnacentral:lncRNA from 1 species